rnacentral:tRNA from 1 species
GCGGUCGUAGCUCAAUGGCAGAGCACUCGACUGUGGCUCGAGUGGUUGCGGGUUCGACUCCCGUCGACCGCC